GUUUUUGUCUUUUCUC
rnacentral:sRNA from 1 species